ensembl:snRNA U1 U1 spliceosomal RNA
AUACUUACCUGGCAGGGCAGAUACCAUGAUCACGAAGGUGGUUUUCCCAGGGCGAGGCUUAUCCAUUGCACUCUAGAUGUGCUGACCCCUGCGAUUUCCCCAAAUGUGGGAAACUCGACUGCACAAUUUGUGUUAGUGGGGGACUGUGUUUGUGCUUUCCCCUG